GUCUUAAGAACAGCAGAACAGCAGAAGAUUGACACAGGAGAUGUGAUGAUUCAGUCUAUCAGGAUUAUCUGAUUUGGCUGAUGCCCUUUAUCGUAGGUGACUUGGAAGAUGGGGAUGCAGUACAUCUGGUUGCCCUUAUUUUUUACAACUGGAGCACAGCAGCUUGGUUAAAAAAGAAACUUCAUACAUCCAGUUACAGCCUGUCACAUUUAAGUGCGAGAAUACCCAAUUAUGCCGAAACGAAAGUGCAAGUUCACCGACUACAUGAACAGCAAAUAUCCUUUGUGAAGGACAGCCGGGUCCCAUGCCCGGCAGGGACGCCCCUGCUGCUUAUGUUCUGGGGGAGCCACCAUGGGCA